rnacentral:rRNA from 1 species
GGGCCCGCACAAGCAGUGGAGCAUGUGGUUUAAUUCGAUGCAACGCGAAGAACCUUACCAGGCCUUGACAUCCUCGGAACAAUCUAGAGAUAGAUUGGUGCCUUCGGGAACCAAGAUACAGGUGCUGCAUGGCUGUCGUCAGCUCGUGUCGUGAGAUGUUCCGUUAAGUCGGAUAACGAGCGCAACCCUUACCCUUAUUUGCCAGCGAUUCGGUCGGGAACUAUAAGGGGACUGCCGGUGAUAAACCGGAGGAAGGUGAGGACGACGUCAAGUCAUCAUGGCCCUUACGAGUAGGGCUACACACGUGCUACAAUGGGGAAUACAGACGGACGCUAAGCCGUGAGGUGGUGCUAAUCCUAGAAAGUUUCUCGUAGUCCGGAUUGGAGUCUGCAACUCGACUCCAUGAAGUCGGAAUCGCUAGUAA